rnacentral:rRNA from 1 species
GACGAACGCUGGCGGCGUGCUUAACACAUGCAAGUCGAACGGAAAGGCCCUGCUUUUGUGGGGUGCUCGAGUGGCGAACGGGUGAGUAACACGUGAGUAACCUGCCCUUGACUUUGGGAUAACUUCAGGAAACUGGGGCUAAUACCGGAUAGGAGCUCCUGCUGCAUGGUGGGGGUUGGAAAGUUUCGGCGGUUGGGGAUGGACUCGCGGCUUAUCAGCUUGUUGGUGGGGUAGUGGCUUACCAAGGCUUUGACGGGUAGCCGGCCUGAGAGGGUGACCGGGCAACAUGGGGCCGGGGUAAGGCCCCGAAUCCUUAGGGAGGCAGCAGUGGGGAAUAUUGCACAAUGGGCGGAAGCCUGAUGCAGCAACGCCGCGUGCGGGAUGACGGCCUUCGGGUUGUAAACCGCUUUCGCCUGUGACGAAGCGUGAGUGACGGUAAUGGGUAAAGAAGCACCGGCUAACUACGUG